AUGGCCUCAUCCGCCGCCUCCUCCUCUCCCCUCUCCGGCCAGAUCCCCGAGCGCCUUACCCGCACCAACUACGUCCUUUGGCGCACUCAGAUCACGCCGCAGCUGAGAGGGGCUGGAGUUUUCGGGUACGUUGAUGGAAGCAUGGCGGAGCCGGCCGAGCUCAUCGUCAGCAAGGACAAGGAUGGAAAGGAGGAAACCAUCCCCAACCCGCUCCAUGCCGUCUGGUUCCGAGAGGAUCAGCAGGUACUCGGUUAUCUUCUGAGUAACCUAUCCAAAGAGGUGCUAGUGCAGGUCACCUCCAUC
rnacentral:rRNA from 1 species